rnacentral:rRNA from 1 species
UACGUAGGGGGCAAGCGUUGUCCGGAUUUAUUGGGCGUAAAGAGCGUGUAGGCGGCCAUGCAGGUCCGUUGUGAAAACUCGAGGCUCAACCUCGAGACGCCGAUGGAAACCGCAUGGCUAGAGUCCGGAAGAGGAGAGUGGAAUUCCUGGUGUAGCGGUGAAAUGACGCAGAUAUCAGGAAGAACACCCGUGGCUAAGGCGGCUCUCUAGUACGGUACUGACGCUGAGACGCGAAAGCGUGGGGAGCGAACAGG